GAUGAACGCUGGCGGCGUGCCUAAUACAUGCAAGUCGAGCGAACAGACGAGGAGCUUGCUCCUCUGACGUUAGCGGCGGACGGGUGAGUAACACGUGGAUAACCUACCUAUAAGACUGGGAUAACUUCGGGAAACCGGAGCUAAUACCGGAUAAUAUAUUGAACCGCAUGGUUCAAUAGUGAAAGACGGUUUUGCUGUCACUUAUAGAUGGAUCCGCGCCGCAUUAGCUAGUUGGUAGGGUAACGGCUUACCAAGGCGACGAUGCGUAGCCGACCUGAGAGGGUGAUCGGCCACACUGGAACUGAGACACGGUCCAGACUCCUACGGGAGGCAGCAGUAGGGAAUCUUCCGCAAUGGGCGAAAGCCUGACGGAGCAACGCCGCGUGAGUGAUGAAGGUCUUCGGAUCGUAAAACGCUGUUAUUAGGGAAGAACAAAUGUGUAAGUAACUAUGCACGUCUUGACGGUACCUAAUCAGAAAGCCACGGCUAACUACGU
rnacentral:rRNA from 1 species